UAGUCAUAUGCUUGUCUCAAAGAUUAAGCCAUGCAUGUCUAAGCACAAGCCGAUUAAUGGUGAAGCCGCGAAUGGCUCAUUACAACAGCCAUAGUUUCUUAGAUCUUACUUUUCUACUUGGAUAACUGUGGUAAUUCUAGAGCUAAUACACGCAAACAGGCUCAGACCUUACGGAAUGAGCGCAUUUAUUAGAGCAAAAACCAAUCGGGCUUCGGCCCGUCAUUUGGUGAAUCUGAAUAACUUUGCUGAUCGCACGGUCAUCGUACCGGCGACGUAUCUUUCAAAUGUCUGCCUUAUCAACUUUCGAUGGUAGUUUAUGCGCCUACCAUGGUUGUAACGGGUAACGGAGAAUAAGGGUUCGACUCCGGAGAGGGAGCCUGAGAAACGGCUACCACAUCCAAGGAAGGCAGCAGGCACGCAAAUUACCCACUCCCGGCACGGGGAGGUAGUGACGAAAAAUAACGAGACGGCUCGCUAUGCGGUCCGUCAUCGGAAUGGGUACAAUUUAAAUCCUUUAACGAGGAUCUAUU
rnacentral:rRNA from 1 species